UACGUAGGGGGCAAGCGUUGUCCGGAAUCAUUGGGCGUAAAGAGCGUGUAGGCGGCCCGGUAAGUCCGCUGUGAAAGUCGGGGGCUCAACCCUCGAAUGCCGGUGGAUACUGUCGGGCUAGAGUGCGGAAGAGGCGAGUGGAAUUCCUGGUGUAGCGGUGAAAUGCGCAGAUAUCAGGAGGAACACCGAUUGCGAAGGCAGGUCUCUGGGCCAUAACUGACGCUGAGAAGCGAAAGCAUGGGGAGCGAACAGG
rnacentral:rRNA from 1 species